CCGAAUAUUUCUCUUCUAUAAAUAGUGGUACUGCCAUAAGUGCAACUUACAGCAAAUAAAGGCAUCAAAAAGACAAAAAAAGAAUUACAAGUUUACAAUCAAAGAGAAGUAAGAGAAGCAAUGGCAGGUUCUAACUGUGGAUGUGGUUCCGCUUGCAAAUGUGGUGACUCUUGCAGUUGCGAGAAGAACUACAACACGGAGUGCGACAACUGCAGCUGCGGUGACAGCUGCAGCUGUUGAAGAAAUUGUGGUUUAAAUCACAUGCGUGCAGGAAAAACUGGGGGAAAAGUGUGUUUGAUGUUAAGAGAUAUGUGUGUGUUUGAAUAAAGAUUUGGCAUGAUGUUGCCUAAUUACUCUCUUAGCCUUGGCCUUUUCUCUAUGUGUUUUUAUUGUGUAAUGUUUUCAUUUGUAACGUAAGAAAAAAAUAUCUAUUGACUUUUGUGAUUGUUAUUAUUA